rnacentral:RNase_P_RNA from 1 species
GGAGUCGGCCAGGCAGUCGCUGGAGAUCGGGGUUAGCCCCCGUUUUCUGGAGGAAAGUCCGGGCUCCACAGGGCAAGGUGCCAGGUAAUCCCUGGGGGGCGCGAGCCCAUGGAAAGUGCCACAGAAAAUAUACCGCCCGCCUGCCUUAACAGGCAGCACGGGUAAGGGUGAAAUGGUGCGGUAAGAGCGCACCGCGCGGCUGGUAACAGGCGUGGCAGGGUAAACCCCACCUGGAGCAAGACCAAAUAGGGGAACGAACGUGCGGCCCGCACGGUUCCCGGGUAGGUUGCUUGAGGCCUGCGGUGACGCAGCGCCCAGAUGAAUGACUGUCCACGACAGAACCCGGCUUAUCGGCCGACUCCUACG